CCUUGGGCUCUGGCACCAAGGAAACCAGGCAAGGCCUCCUCUUCUGAGAAGGUGGGACCUGAGCUGAGCCUUCAAGGAAACCAAAGGUGGAGAUGGAGGUACCCAAGCCUUUUCUGAGUCCGCCUAGCUAGGCUCUCUCGGGUUCCUCUCAGCAGCCCAGGAAGGAGGUCCCCCAAAGGGUAUUCUUACCCCCUACCCCAACUCUACCUAGAAAAUUGAAAAUCGGGAAGCUGGAACUCAGAGGGGAAGAAACUUGUCUAAGUCAAACAGGAAAUCAAUCAGCAACGAAGCCCAGACCAGACCCGCCCAGGCCUCAGACACCGAGGUCUAUGGUGCUUAACCACUUUGGCUCCCGUUGUUAGGGUCCGUUUAGGGGUCAAAGGAACAGAACAGACGAUGCAAUCAGCACCGAGAGUUUCAUGGAUCUUCCCAAAUGGAUCUUGAGUGCUCCCAAAUCAAGAACUUGUGGCCAAAAGCAUCUUGGAAGCAAUGGAGGUUUCUGUCUCUGUCCAAGAGUAGAAAAAGCAUUCUUCUGGGCUGGGGCUGGUCAUGACACCCCAGUACCAGGAAAAGGUUGUUUGAAGGGCUCUAGAGAUGGCCGAGGACGUCAGAGGUGAGCAGCGCCCCCACCCCGGAAAGUGGAGACGAGGAUUCCACCUCCCAGAGCAAACAUUCUUGUACCUGGCCUAAGCUCUGUCAACGAUUUCUGACUGGUCGUUAUUAUAACGUGCAAAUAUAGUUUGACAUAUGUAUACAAAACCUCCCGUGUUUUAGGACUGUGUCUGCUUCAUAAACAUGAACUUUAACAUGAUUGAUCUGUUCAACUAUAGCGUGUUGAUUAGAAACUGGCAGUACAGAGUGGCCGGCUGUCCCAGCCGUGCCAGGAGCUAUCUAUCCACUCUUCCGGAUCCCCAGACAUUGCCAGGAGCCUCAAGGAGUCUGCCCUUGGCAUCCAGGCACAUUUCAUAGUUCGCCUUCCUCAAGAAAUCUUUGCCACACAAGCUUCUGUUCUUGCCCAGGGUGCAUAUUUGGAAACAAAAAGAGGUAUGCUGGGCAUCGAGGUGAUAAAGAGCAGCUAGGUGAACCCCUACCUGAUAUGGAGUCAGGAGGACCUGAGUUCAAAUUCAGCUUCAGAUACUUCCUAGCUGUGUGAUCCUAUUUAAGUCACUUAACCCUAAUUGCCUCAGUUUCCUCACCUGGAAAAUGAGCUGGAGAAGGAAAUAGAAAGCAAGAAAACUUCCUUUGAAAAAGCCACUGGACACAAAAAUAGGAAUAGAAGACACUUCUGUCUCAAUGUCAUGAAGAUCAAAUAAGAAAACAAUCACAGCCUCAUCUUCUGAAACCCCCAGAUGAAUCCUGGUCCCCACUGAACAAUGAACCCUGAAGCACCUUUCAAUUACCCAAGCCAGAACUCAGCUGAAGACAGUCAAGACCUUAAUGACAUGUCUGUGGCCCUAGCAUCUCUAGCACAUCCUGGUCUCUCUGACACUUUAGACGGGCUAGUGCUCCAUUCCCAAGCCCAGGGAGAGGGCAGACAACUCCACCCCCUCUUUCAAAAUGGCAUCCACAUCUUGUGUCCAUUCUGGGGUUCACUGGAAGUCUCAGGAUGGAGGGUCUGCUUGUCUUCCCAGAAGAAUCUGCCUACCUCAAUUAAAGACCCUUCCCAGAACUACGUUCCUGGUCCUGCAUUUUCCAGGUAUAAAAUAAUCAAGAAACAAUAGAUUCGGAGCUGCUCAGGCCCAUCCAACCCAACUCUCUUAGUUAAUAAACAGAUGCGAAAAUGGUGGCCUAGAGAGAGAGGGUACUAGCUGGAAGUCAAUGGGGGAGAAGAGGCAGAAAUAGAACUUGGAUCGAUCCUUGGACUGGAAAUCUAGCACUCUUCCCUCUACCAAUGUGGGCUGGCACCUUCACGGUGACAUAGAGGUGCCAAAAAUAGCAAAUCCAGAAAGAUAGGAAAGCAGGGGAAAGCAUCCGGGGCUACCAGCCAGGAGACAAGAGCAAAACUUUUUUCUUCUGUGGAAGGGUCUAUAAUGCCCUUCCACAAAGCAACAGAAAGCCUCUUUUGUGCAGGAGAGCACUCCAUCUUCUAUUUUCUAAAUUCUUUCCAGUUCAGGUUUUCUAUGUCAUAGCUUUGUGAAUUUAGACCUGGAAGGGAGCUCUUAGAAGUAGAGAACACAGGGGCAGCUAGGUAGCCCAAUGGAUAGAGCACCAAGCCUGGAGUAAGGAGGACCAGGGUUCAAAUCUGGCUUUGGAUGCUUCCUAGCUGUGUGACCCUGAACAACUUUCUUGAUCCUAUUUGCCUAGUCUAGAAUUGAUACUAAGACAGAGGGUGGGUAGAAAAAACAAAUAAGAAGCAGAGAACAGCAGAACAGAGAUUAGGCAAGACUUGAGAUCACAAAGACCUGAUUGAGAAGGAAUCUCACCUCUGUUUCCCUUGACAAGACCACCUCUGGCAAGGAAUCUAUCAUAAAAUCACCUGUAUGAGACACUUGGCAAAUAUAAAAGCACUAUAUAAAAAGUCAGUUGCUACCCACAAUGGCGCUUUGGUCAGCU